UGGGAAACCUGCCCAGAAGCGGGGGAUAACACCUGGAGGCAGAUGCUAAUACCGCAUAACAACUUGGACCGCAUGGUCCGAGUUUGAACGAUGGCUUCGGCUAUCACUUUGGAUGGUCCCGCGGCGUAUUAGCUAGAUGGUGAGGCAACGGCUCACCAUGGCAAUGAUACGUAGCCGACCUGAGAGGGUAAUCGGCCACAUUGGGACUGAGACACGGCCCAAACUCCUACGGGAGGCAGCAGUAGGGAGUCAACCACAAUGGACGACCGUCUGAUGGAGCAACGCCGCGUGAGUGAAGAAGGGUUUCGGCUCGUAAAACUCUGUUGUUAAAGAAGAACAUAUCUGAGAGUAAC
rnacentral:rRNA from 1 species